AACUUUUAGCAAUGGAUCUCUUGGCUCUCGCAUCGAUGAAGAACACAGCGAAUUGCGAUAAGUAAUGUGAAUUGCAGAUUUCCAGUGAAUCAUCGAAUCUUUGAACGCACAUUGCGCCCUCUGGUAUUCCGGGGGGCAUGCCUGUUCGAGCGUCAUCAAACCCACUCAAGGAGGGAUUUUUCGAAACCCCAGCUUGGUCUUGGGCCUGAGGGAUCCGAACCCUCUGCCUGCAAUCCAGUGGCGGAUUUUCCAGCGCGGCAUCAGCGUGAUGAACACGUCGUUCGCGAAUGGCGGCGGGAAAGUCCAGCCAUGACAAAACCCCCAUAUCAAUUUUCAAGUUUGACCUCGGAUCAGGUAGGGAUACCCGCUGAACUUAAGUAUAUCAAUAAGCGGAGGCU
rnacentral:misc_RNA from 1 species